rnacentral:misc_RNA from 1 species
GGGGAGGUCAGUUAGGUCAGACUGAACGAAAGAGCACUCGUAGACAUCCCCAUCUCCAUCCAGUGCCCUAAGAGACGACUCAACAAAUCUGGCUGCCGCAUAGGCCAUCGAUAGAGUCGCAGAUCCAGCACCGGCUUUUGCCUCCACCACCUCUGUACCAGCAUUCUGUAUUCUUACAGUCAGUUCUUCCACUUCAUCAUCAGUGAAAGACACAGACGGCCUAGCCUUCGACAGCAAGGGCAAAAUAGUAAUACCAGCAUGUCCUCCUACAACCGGGACAUCCACAUCAAUGAGCUUGAGG